rnacentral:rRNA from 1 species
GACAGAGGGUGCAAACGUUGUUCGGAAUUACUGGGCGUAAAGAGCUCGUAGGCGGUGUGUCGCGUCGGCCGUGAAAACCUGCAGCUUAACUGUGGGCGUGCGGUCGAUACGGGCAUCACUGGAGUUCGGCAGGGGAGACUGGAAUUCAUGGUGUAGCAGUGAAAUGCGUAGAGAUCAUGAGGAAGACCAGUGGCGAAGGCGGGUCUCUGGACAGUUCCUGACACUGAGACACGAAGGCCAGGGGAGCAAACGGG